rnacentral:rRNA from 1 species
UGGGGAAUUUUGGACGAAUUGGGCGCAAGCCUGAUCCAGCCAUGCCGCGUGCGGGAAGAAGGCCUUCGGGUUGUAAACCGCUUUUGUCAGGGAAGAAAUCUUCUGAGUUAAUACCUCGGGAGGAUGACGGUACCUGAAGAAUAAGCACCGGCUAACUACGUGCCAGCAGCCGCGGUAAUACGUAGGGUGCAAGCGUUAAUCGGAAUUACUGGGCGUAAAGCGUGCGCAGGCGGUUUUGUAAGACAGAGGUGAAAUCCCCGGGCUCAACCUGGGAACUGCCUUUGUGACUGCAAGGCUUGAGUGCGGCAGAGGGGGAUGGAAUUCCGCGUGUAGCAGUGAAAUGCGUAGAUAUGCGGAGGAACACCGAUGGCGAAGGCAAUCCCCUGGGCCUGCANUGACGCUCAUGCACG